rnacentral:RNase_P_RNA from 1 species
GGAGUUGGCCAAGGCAGUCGCUGCCUUGUCGUUGUACCUUCGGGUAGACAGACAGGGGAGAGGAAAGUCCGGGCUCCAUAGGGCAGGGUGCCAGGUAACGCCUGGGAGGCGUGAGCCUACGACUAGUGCAACAGAGAGCAAACCGCCGAUGGCCCGUAAGGGAUCAGGUAAGGGUGAAAGGGUGCGGUAAGAGCGCACCGCGCGACUGGUAACAGUUCGUGGCACGGUAAACUCCACCCGGAGCAAGACCAAAUAGGCCCCCAUUGGCGCGGCCCGCGUUGGGGGCGGGUAGGUUGCUUGAGCCAGUGAGCGAUUGCUGGCCUAGAGGAAUGACUGCUACCGCGCAAGCGGCACAGAACCCGGCUUACCGGCCGACUCCCCCU